UGCUUCCCAGUUUUUCAUUGCUUAGCUGUCCUUGACAACCAGACUUAUGGUCAGAAGUCAAGUGACCUGAAUUUCUGCCUGGCCAACACUGUGAUUAAGAUCCGCAUAAGUUUCUGAGCACUACAGCCCUGCAGGACCCAGAGAGCACUGGACACACUGGAGCAAACGCAGAUGACGUCUCUUUUGUGAGAAGAAAGAGAGGAGGGAAGAUGCUCUGUGAUGCUUCCAGUAAUGCUGACCAGUCACGGUGCUGUCACCUCCUCGUCUGUCUUUGCAAUCUGUUCCCAACUGAGGUUUCCGUUGCAGUGUAACUGACACUCCAGG
rnacentral:lncRNA from 1 species